UUUUUUUUAACAUUUCAGAACUCAUCACUACACCUAACAGGCCUUUGGUAAGUGUGUCCCUUCGCUGGUACCAAACAGGUGACCUUUGGCUCACUUUUUAAUCUACAACACAACGAGGGAAAUGCUCACAAUAGGCUGCAACAGGUCAUGUUUUUAAUAGUUCACACACAAUUAGUUUCUCAUGCUUUCUUCUUGAUUUGUAGAUUUGGUUAAAGUAGAAGAGUGACAUCUAAUCCCAAAUAAAGCAGGCCAUAGAACCAGCAACAGGGCUUUUCAAAAUUUGUAAAAAAGGGAGGGAAAUCUCAACUUAUGAUUGCUCUGAACCACCAUAGCAUUUUAUUAUUUUUUGUUGUUGUCUCCUACGUUUUAUGAUCUUGCAACCCCUACCUAUCCUAAGUAUGAUCUUAUUCUUGCUAACAUUGGUUUUGCAGACUUAAUCAUGGUUUUCUGAAGGUUUCAACGUCACCAAAUUUCUUGGAACUAUGAAAGUGCACAUUUUGUCGAGGUAUUGAAGAUAAUGUAAUAGCUGUUAUAUUUUCCUGCUCUUGUCUGAUUUUUUUUUGGCUAGUGCAUAGCAUUUGAGGUGUGGUGACGAAGAUGGAGUAUUGGAGUUGAGCAAGUGCUUAUUAAUCUUGAACACUUGUGUAACUAUUCUGUAAUUUUGUGAUGUUAGGGUCUUUGGCAAACGCAUUUGCUCACCACCUUCUUCCACAACAAGAAAAUUAUCAAAUAAAAAUCAAUUUUUAGAGACUAAAAUAAUUAGUUGUAAUAGUAACUAAAUUUAACUACCAAUUAUUUAGUUUAUAAAACCUUGAUUUUGCUAAUUAGAUACCAAUAUAGAAACUAUUUAACAAUAAUAGAAACUAAUUUAAAAACCAAUUUUUGUUUUAGUUUCCAAAAUGGUCUCUAUUUUAGUUAUUAUUGUAAUUAAUUAUUUUGAUCUCUAGAAAUUGAUUUCUAUUUCAUAAUUUUCUUGUAGUGUUCUAAGCCAGCUCGAAUUUAUUAGAUUUUCUGUAGUCAUUGUAUAUAAUGUAAGUUAAAAAGCUUGUCCAGGAAGGAUGUUAGUGAUGGAUAGAACAUAGCAUUUUAAUUGGUUUCUAAGCAAAUGAGUAGAUAUAUGAUUAUAAAAUAUGAUGACUUUGUCUCCAAUCUUGUUAGUUUAAUCUAGAACAUAAUAUAUAUUAAAAAUAUUAAUUUAAUAAAUUGAUAAUAAUUAUAAUAAUAUUAAUAGUAAUAAUAAUUUUA
rnacentral:lncRNA from 1 species